GGAGAAAUAUGUUUACAUAUUUAGUUACGCGUUGAUUUGCACUCAACUUUUAUGAAAUUUUUUCAUACU
rnacentral:tRNA from 1 species